UUCAACCAGCCAGCUAGGAAAACAAGGAGACGUGCUGCUAGACAGCAGAAGGCUGUGAAGAUCUUCCCAAGGCCAACUGCGGGAUCACUUCGACCUAUACUAUUUUGUGGAACUAAUUGGCACUAUUCUUUUCUUUUUUUAAAUUCAAUUUUGGUUGAACAGUAUUAACAUUUUUCUACCUGUCUUUACUCUGUUGUCUUCAGCUAGACAGCAGAAGGCUGUGAAGAUCUUCCCUAGGCCAACUGCAGGAUCACUUCGACCUAUUGUUCAUGGACAGACACUGAAAUACAACAUGAAAGUCCGGGCUGGGAGGGGAUUUUCUCUUGAAGAACUGAAAGUGAGGUUCUAGUUACAUGUUGAAUGUAAUUUACUAGAUAACUUGCCAGCCGUCCAGUUCACCACCCCGUUCUCCCAUAGAGAAGAACAAUUAACAAAAAGCCAUCUCAUUGAGUACAAAAGAAAAUUCUAUUUUUAGUCAUGUAUUUGGCUCUGGAUACUUUUAUUUUAUACUGCCUAUUAUUUUGAAGCACUUGUACGUUUGACUUCCCCAUUAUUAAGUAGCUUUGGGUUUUCAGGCAGCUGGUAUUCCCAAAAAACUAGCACCAACCAUUGGCAUUGCUGUUGAUCAUCGCCGCAGGAACAGAUCAUUGGAAGGUCUCCAAAGUCCAAACCAAUGUCCAGAGGCUCAUUUACUAUUGCUGUUGAUCAUCGCCGCAGGAACAGAUCAUUGGAAGGUCUCCAAACCAAUGUCCAGAGGCUCAAGACUUACAAAGCUAAGCUUGUCAUCUUCCCAAGGCGUGCUAAGAAAAUCAAGGUAAAUUUGAAAAUGAUUAUUCUUUUCCCUGCUAAGUGAGGAUUCCUGCUUUGGUAUCUGAACAGUUUAUGUGAAAAUUUACCUUGAACUCUCUUUUCCAGGCUGGUGAUUCUAGUGCAGAGGAACUUGCUACUGCCACCCAGGUCCAGGGCUCAUACAUGCCUAUUACUAGGGAGCAGCCAGCUGUUGACCUUGUCAGGGUCACAGAUGAGAUGAAAUCAUUCAAUGCCUAUGGCAAGCUGCGUAUCGAGCGUACAAAUGCGCGACACAUCGGAGCCAGGUUGAAGAGGGCAGCUGAAGCAGAAAAGGAAGAAAAGAAAUAAGCAAUUAGAAUUGUCGUGUAGCUUGUUAAGCAUUAUCAGUUUUCUGGUGGACUGAGUGAUGAAGUUAUUGAUACAAUCAUAUUCAGGAUCUUGAGCUUUUCUCUUUAUUCAAGAAUUUUGUUUUGCUUGUGAUAUCAUGCAAAUAUUUUGAUGGUGUUUAUGUUAUAGCAUGAGUCCUAUAUCUCUCUUGUGUCUGCUAUUUCAUAGCCAGCUAGCUUAGUGGAAGUGUCAGUUUUCCAAAUUGUGAUGGCAACUUCAAAUUGAUUAGGUCUAUCUUGCCCCGUCUCGAGCUGAUUUGUUAACCUGAGGGUCAAGCUAUUUUCUGGUGCUACAUCGAUUGAAUGAGGUAGCUGUACCAGUUUCAAUCAAUCAGUUGCCAAUGAAGUUAUCAACCUUUUUAAGAAAUAGUAUAUUUCAUUUGUUUCGAAUGUCAAAUCAAUGGAAAUACAGGCUCACAGCUCAUAGAGUCACUGGGAAAGCAAGGGAAGUGCUAGUUGUGGUUGUGGUGACACUUGCUUUCUUAAGGUAUAGUGUAGAAGGGAAUAAGUGGUAUGAAGUUGUUUGUGAGGUUUUGUUCGACCUCAAGGAUAAGGGUAAGAGGACUUGAAUGUAAUGCGCACAUACUUGAGGUUUCUAUUAGAACAAUCCCGCGAUAGUCAGGACAAUAUUUCCAAACAUGUUUUGUAUGUGAAAUGCCAAACUAAAGAAUCUUGAUGCAGAUUUUUUAUAGCAUAUAGUUUUAUGCAACUUAAGAAGCUAGCUAGUAACACAUCAACUUUCUAACAUUAACCGAGAAUUGAUGAAUUGACAUUUGCAUAUUUCUUUCUAGAAUAUGCUGAAUUGAUGAAUUGACAUUUGCAUAUUUCUUUCUAGAAUAUGCUCUACUUUUAGGCCAUCAUCAUCGGUUGGUAAACUGAUAUUAUGUUAAUUUGGUGUAUUAAUAUUCUUAGAUGAAUUUUCCUUUAGUUUUGAAAUCCAUUGUAGCACAUUGUUGCUAUUCUUUAGAAAGAAAAACCAGAUACCUGAAAGUUAUAGCAACUAAAUUUGAUCUAAAUGCGGGUCAUUGAUGACAUCCAGCCGUCGGCCAUAGCUAUAGGGAACAAAAUCAGGAGCUAGAUGCAGUCUUUUCAUAAGCUUAGAAUUGACAAUUCCUUUGAUCUUUGCAAAUCAUGCAAUAUGGUAAAACAUCUUUGGAGCAGUUCCUAAGAAAAGUUAAAGCCUAUAAUAUUACUCAUAAUUUUUUAAUAAUCACUCUAUGCUACAAGAGACCAACUCUUAUGUUAGUAUGUGACUAUGAAUGUUUUUGUAUUUAUAUAAUUAUCCAGUUUAUCAAAAAUAAACAAACUAAAUUUAAUCUCAUUAAGUCUAAAAAAUGGGAUAUAUAUAUAAUCACAGAGAAUUAGUCCAUCUUACUUCAAAAAUAAUUAGUUUGAAGUGAUUAGAGUACUAGUAUAAAACCAAAAAGAUAAAAAGAAGGAAGAGUACACUGGAAAAAAUUUACAUAUACACCAUUUUUUUUGUAAGAAAAAGAAAAAUGGAAUUCCAAUAUGAGAAAGUGGUCUAUGGAAGAAAAAAAAUCAGUUAUUUAAGUAUUACCAAAUUGAGUAGACAUGUGCUUUCAUUAGAUAGUAAUUUCUUAUUUUUUUUCUUCUAUUCAAAUAUAAGGACAUAAAACUAAACGUGAUGAAACCAAAACAGAAAGAAAAAAUAAAGUAGGAACGAAAUUUGGGGUAUCUGCCAUCAAGGUUUAUUUUUUUCUCUAUAUCGUCUUCAAUUUUUUCCACUUCAUUGUUCUUAUUUUCCUUUCUCCUUUUAUUCCUAAUCUCUCUCUAAAUAAGUUUUAGAUUGAUGGACAUCGAUUUAAGGUGUUAGGGUGACAUUGGAGUCGGUUAUGAAACUUCGGAGCAUGGUAAGUCUCCUAUCUAAUCUUGUGAGGAGGAAUCAACAUCGUAGGUAUUGUAAUUGCUAUGUACUACGUAUUGUGGGAGCUGCACACGUAUGAGAUGACUAGUGUCUGUGCGUAUGCUAGAAUUAAUGAUUAGGUCCGGAUAAACUCAGGCUCACACCAUGUCUUAAAUGUAGUAUUUGAGUUAUCAUUUCCUGUUUAGUUGCUCUAAUUUAGGUUCUUGUCCGAGACUAACUUGCUUAAAGUAUCGAACAUACGAUUUUUGAUAUAAGGUUAGCUACUUGAGUAACAGCAGAGAGUACACUUCCUUUUACGGGUUCCUCCCAUGUUCCACGUAUUUGUUCGAAAGUUUCUUUAAUUUCACGACUCAUAUGUAUAUUCGUGAGUGUGGAUAGUGACCCGCCAAGUCUUCACUAUUUUUUAUGAGAUCAGGCUAAUCGUCUCAGCAACAUCUUUAUGGGAUCCAGCCGUUUGCCUCGGUGGUAUAUGGGUUGCACACAUAGAUCAGGUCGUAUGACCUCGACUGUGUGUAUACACUGCUAUUAUAGGACCGAGCCAUCCACCACAACAGGAAUUUGUGCUUUCACUCUUAUGGUAUUAGGCCGCUCGCCUCGACAGAAUUGUACGAAAUAUUAGAUAAGGAGUCAGCGUAUUUAUGAGUUUUCCUAACUUGAGAUGUGACUAUUGGUUUGGUGUUGACCAACGCGGUUAUCGAUAUUUGAGGACCUUGUGUUAUUUCUCAAUUGAGGAUUUCAUUAUGUAUUUAUAUCUGUUUCCACGGUUUUACCUGUCAUGCCUCAUAUCUUUUUACUUUUAAUAUGUAUGAUCUACUGGACACUAGUAAGUAUUGAGGUCGAUCUCUCCUCACUAUUUCUCCGGGGUUAGAUUAUAUACUUACUAGGUACAUGUUGAUUUACGUAGUCACGUUACAUUUCUGCACUCAUUGUGCAUGUAUAUUUAUGAUGGUUAUUUGGGGCACGUAGGUGCAGUUGCUAAGGGGAUUUAUGGUGAGUUGUAUUCCGUAUUACGAACUGCAACACAGAGCCUCCAUCAGAUUUCUUUCUUUAUCUUGUCUAUAUUAUAGUUCAGAGAGAUGUUGUAUUAUUAUUGUAUUUCCUAGUAGAUGCCCAUGCACUUGUGACACCGAAUUUUAGAAUGUUCUAAAAUUUGUUUGUAGGUUUGCUUAACAUUGACACUCUUUUUAUUUUAUAUUUUAUUAAAUAUUAGGUUUCUAUGGUUUUAAUGCUUUAAUUUCUUUAUCUAAUAAGAUUUACCAUUCAAAAAUAAUAAAAUAAAUUAUUUUGUUGAUAGUUCAACGUUGUCUUACCUAAUGGCGAAGUUGGGUACCAUCACGACCUAUAGUGGGAAUCGGGUCGUGACAGCUUGGUAUUAGAGCACUAGGUUCUCUUAGGUCUCAUGUGUCAUGAGCAAGUCUAGUAGAGUUUUGCGGAUCAGUAUAAAGAUGUUUGUACAUUUCUUCGAGAGGAUGCAUGGAUAUUAGGAUAACUUUCCCUACAUGAUAUUUUCCCUGUGUAUUCAAGUGGACUAUUAUCGUUGCCUCGUAGAGGGGUUUCCUAUCGUUUCAACCCAAUGUUAGUAUUGCCCAUGGUUUUGAGGCCUUGCACUACGAAUUGUGAUGUACAUAUAUUGUUAUCGCGUAGAGCUGGUGUAAAUGGUAGGGUGCUUAAUUAUGUGCUGCGGCAGUGAAUGACUCAAAAGGAGGAUUAUCCAGUUCAUGGUUUAGAGAUUUGGCAUUUAAUCCCAGCAAAGGAAUGGCAAUUAGACUGCAGAUGUUCAGACGUUUGUUGACAAAGUUGUAAGAUGGGGUAUUUUUCGAAUUUGGUGGAAAUCCUUGGUUAUUUUAAGGAGUCGACGUACUUGUUUGAAUGCAUUAAGGCUCGUCGAUGUGUUGGCCUUCAUUUUUUUACCUUUGGGCCAAGGUGUCAUGAAAUGGUACGUAACAAGUAGUUAUUAGGAUGAUAGUGUAUUGCGAUUGUAGGGUAAGAUCAUUGCCUCCCGUGUUGAUAUCUCGAGGAAGAUGAUCUUGAAGGAGGCUUAGAUUUGGUGGCAAUUUAUUAUUCGGGUGCUAUAGAGAAGGAUGAUGAUUGAGGCUGUGUUUUAGAAGCGAAAGAUAAGGAAGAGCAUGAAAGGUUAUGUAUCGCGGUAGUUGAGUUAUUAGCAUGCCAAGUACGAGCAACAGAUAUCAAGUAGUUCCUUAGGAAGUUGAAUGCGAUGAGAAGACUUUCUUGGAACGUAGAGGAAUGUGAAAUUUUGAUUAUCGUUUUGGGAUGCAAUAUGACUUCGAAUUUUGAACGCAUUGCGGAUCUUAAGUUGAUGUUAGUGGAAAUGAAUGGGCGUUUGCAGCUGGUGGGAGAGUGUGAGAUCAGGAGGAUUAACCAAAUUUAUGGUGGUUGUAACCAGGGAAAUAUCAUUGGAAGAUGUCGAUAUGGGGUUUUACAUAGAUGGGUUAUAAGAGUUAUACCUUCUAUCCAAUGUGAGUUUAUGUAAGGUAGUGUGAGCUUGGAUUGCUUGAAGAAGGUGGUACAACUGUCAAGAGGUCGAGUGUGCGAUUGUGGCUGAUAAUUCAGAAUGUCUUAUGAUUAGUGAAAUACAAAUUUAUGAGAAAUUUUGCUGAGAUCAUCGUAGCAGAUAAGGAGAAGUCAUUGUGGGUUCUGAAUUUAUGUGAAUGUAGCCAAAAACUAAGUGGGGGAGCCUACCGCCUACGAUUGGGUCACGUGGUUAUGUGCCUUGGCAGUAUCGGGUUAUAGGUACAUUUAAGUAUUAUUUAUGAGUAAGGAAAGAAAACAUCAAGGGUAAUUCGGGGCAAGGGAUUUGGUGCAUGCUACAUUUUGCUAUAUCGAUUCAUGUGCAAAUUUUGGGGAUGACUACGAGUUUAUGAUUCUUGUAGAAGUAAUGCACAAGGAAAAAGAUUCAUCUAGUUGCUUCUUUGGAGUGUUCAGGUGCUAACAGAGCACCGGUUGUUUGGGUAUAUACUCAUAACCAAGUCAGAGUGUGCGGCUCUUAAUAAUGGUUCUGACGAAUUUGAGAUUUAAAGUGUAGUGGCUAGGAAUUUCGGGUUUGUCGUGUGGCUGAGGAAUUAGUAUUAUAGUGGAGUGUGAAAAACUCAUGGAGUAUUUCUAUGAAUAUCACCGGAUCUGCGGUGCGAUGUUUGACAGAUAGAGGAAAUACCUUCAAAUUCGGACAAGAUCUUCAAAAUUAAGUACACGAGAAGAGUAUAAUUAAAUUAGCUUAUGGGUAUUGAGACGACGAGGUCUCAUGCUUUGGGUCACUCGAGGAAAGUGUUGAUCGAGGUCCGUUGUGUGUUUGAAUAUCGGAAGAAGUUGAAUUAGUUAGUAGUAGUUUGGAUCAACAUAGUUAAGAAACUGAUCGAUUCCUUCAGUGUAGUAAAGCUAUACGGGUAUUCGUGGCUAUAGAUGUGGUCUUGGAAGUAUUUAUAAUUUAAUUGAUUUUAGGGUAUUUAAAUUUGAUGGUUAAUGAAAUUAUAGUGGUUUAGACCCCGACUUAAGUAAACAAUUUCUAGCUAAUGAAGUAUUUAUUUUACUGGUGGUUCAGGAGUUAAAUGAAAUUCUUUUACUCUCGUGUAGCAACAUGAUAGGUGCAAUGAGCGGUGCGAAACUGGGGUUGAAAGGUCAAUGUUUCUAUUUAGUUUGUCGAGGAUGUCACAAGUUUGAAGAAAGCAGCGAUUUCAGACUUUUAGAGUAUGGUGGAACUAUUUUAUUGUCGCUGAGAAUGGUAUUCUAUAGAAGAGGCAUUGUAUAUCGAACUGCAAGUUCUUGAUUUACAUUACAGAAAUAGUACGGUUAGUAGCCAUGGAUGUGCAGAUUUUACUACCUGUUGUGGAAGGUUGGGGAGUAUAUCCCACAGGAUGACCGUAUAAGUGUGACGUGUUAGUCAUUUAAGUGUUAGAGAUUUAAAUUAGGUACAAAAAUUUGGGUACUAUCGCGGAUUGGAGAGUUUAUGUCUAAGAGAUGCUCUAUUCCUUUGGUUGUGGAAGUUUGUUCCAAAUUUUACUGUCGAUCGUAUGUGUCAUGUAUAUGGUCACUGCGGGUCUUCGGGAGGUUAUCGACCUAUUUUGGGAUGAUCAGAAUCAGCUUGAGGUCUGUUUGUAGAUCUAAUGUGAAUGUGUGUCCUACAUCAGGUUGAAUGUACUCCUUCAGCAUAGCAUUGCUUAUGGAGGAGUCUUUAGGCGUUGGAUGUUAUUCCUACCGUCAGCUAUUCUAUGUAAUACUCUAUUAUGCCAUAUGGAUUGUGAGAUGUCUUGAUCAUUCGCACAUGUGUUAUGAUCAUGUGUAGCUUGUGGUGUUAUAUGAGCGAUAUGUCUCUCGAGAUAUUGGAAUGCACGCCGCAAUAGUGAUAUAUUGAGUGCAAAUCUUUAUACGUAUCUUGUGUGUUUUGUUGUUAUCUCUGAGUUAGGUUCAUAACAUUGUUUGGUUGCUUACGCGGGCCAGAUAGUCCUGAUUCGGGUUCGUUUUUCCUUAUUGGUCAUAUUUAGUUGUGGCUUAUUGGUGCUUUGAUGGCGUUGUAUGAGAUUUUAGGCAGUGUUUGAGGUGGCUUAUUGCCAAGCAGCUUGUACUAGGUGAGACGAGGUUAUUAGCCCUGAAUCUGUGCAAUCGGAUUUAUAUAAGGUAUAAUAGAGGGGAAAUGCCACUAUUUAGUUCAGAAUGAGGCAGUUCUUAUUGAGAAGGAAUUCCAUGAAUUAUUGGUUUGGCGGGUGGUUAUGAGAUUCUAUACGUCUCGUUCAACAUCGUAGUAUUGUGAGGGUUAGAACAUGGCUUAUAUGUGUUAUGAGGAAUACUACGGGCAUCGGGUUAGUGAAUUUGCACAUGUAGUGGUUGCAAGAUUUUAUUUUAGGCAUACAAAUUAUGCGGUGCAUGGUGUGAUUUCAUCAUGGGUACAUGAUCAUGUUUUGGUUCAGCAUGUCGAGGUUGAUGCGACAUUCGUAUGUUACAAUAAGACCUGGUAAAAUAUUUUGGAUGUUGGAAUUUGGUUAUAAUGAUUGUGGAUUAAGGUAGCAGGAAUGAUCUUCAGUCUGGAUUGAGUUAAUGUGCUCAUGUGGGUUUUGGUGGCAUGGGUGGGUGCACAAGGUGUUAAAAAAUUAUUUUGGGCAACUCUGGAACAAUUCUUGGCACGUUCGAGGACGAACGUAUGUUUAAGUAGGGGAGAAUGUAACGAUCCGACCAGCCAUUUUGAGUUUUAACAUGACAUUCACCAGUUUGAGACCUUGAGUAGCUUCAUUCCAUGUAUAGUGACUUGCACGUGUGGUUGGUUUCGAUUUUCGAGAAGUUUAGAGUUGAUUUGGAAGGAUUAUUCUCAAUUCGAAAGCUUGAAGUUGGAAGAGUUGAUCAGUUUUGACUUUUAAGUACACAACCUUGGAAUCGGAAUUUGAAGGUUCUAACAUGUUUGUGUCAUGAUUUUGGACUUGGGCAUAUGUUCGUAUCGAGUUUUGGGUGGACCAGAAGUGUUUCGGCGCUCAUUGUGGAGAGUGAGAAUUUCAAAGGUUUUAGAAUUUUCUAAGUUUGAUUUGAAGUGGACUUUGGUGUUAAUGAUGUCUGUUGGGAAUUCCGAGCCUUGAAAUAGGAUCUAUUGUGAUGUGUGACUUGUGCGUAAAAUUUGGCGUUAUUCAUGUUUAGGUAUGAUUCUGACGCGUUCAACGAAACUUGAAUGCUUGAAAGUUAAAAGAAGGAUUUUGAUCUUAGAUUUGUGGUUUUGAUAUUAUUCGUUAAAUUUCGAGCCCUUGGAUAAAUUUAGAUAAGGUAUUGGGACUAGUUGGGCCGAUUGAACGGGGUCCCGGGAGCCUCGGGUGUGUUGCGGGAUGGGUUCAAACCAAGGUUGAGUGAAUUAUUAUUGCGGGAUGGGUUUACCCUAUUGUCCUGCAUCAACACCUCUCCAAGUCCGACUCGUGAGGCAUCACAAUAGACUGUAUAACACCCCAAACUAGAAGGCAAAAUCAGAAUAGGGGCUAAAGUCAAGGCCAUCUUGAGCUUCUGGAAGCUCGCCUCACACUCGUCUAUCCACUAAAAGGGAGCACCCUUCUGGGUCAAUCUAGUCAUAGGGGCUGCAAUCGAUGAGAAUACCUCCACAAAAAAAUGGUAAUACCCCGCUCGGCCAAGGAAACUGCGGAUCUCUGUAGCUAAGGAGGGCCUGGGCCAACUCUGCACGACUUCCACCUUCUUCGGAUCCACCCGAAUGCCCUCACUCGAUACCACAUGGCCUAGGAAUGCCAUAGAACUCAACCAAAACUCACAUUUUGAGAACUUUGCAUAUAAUUUCUUUUCUCUCAGUGUUUGAAGCACUGUCCUCAGGUGAUGCUCAUGAUCUUUCCGUCUCUGGGAGUAUACAAGAAUAUCAUCUAUGAAAAACAAUGACAAAUACAGGGCCUGAAUACACUUUGUAUCAAAUCCAUAAAAGAUGUUGGGGCGCAGUCCAAAUGACAUGAUAAGGAACUCGUAAUGACCAUAUCGAGUCCUGAAAGCAGUCUUCGGGAUAUUCGGAUCCUGAAUCUUUAACUGGUGAUAACCUGUGCGCAAAUCAAUCUUAGAAAACACCUGUGCACCCUGAAGCUGGUCAAAUAGAUCAUCAAUACGAGGCAAAGGAUAUCGGUUCUUCACUGUAACCUUGUUCAACUAACGAUAGUCGAUACACAUGUGCAUAGAACCCUCCUUUUUCUUUACGAACAAGACAGGAGCACCCCACGUGAAACACUAGGUCGGAUGAAACCCUUAUCAAGAAAUUCCUGUAAUUGAUCUUUCAACUCCUUCAACUAAGGAGGAGCCAUACGGUAAGGAGGAAUGGAUAUGGGCUGAGUGCCCGGAAACAAAUCAAUUCCAAAAUCAAUGUCCCAAUUAGGCGACAUGCCCGGAAGAUCAGCUGGAAACACAUCAGGGUAAUCCCGUACCACUGGGGCUGAUCAACAGAAGGGGUAUCAGCAUUAACAUCUCUCACAUAAGCUAAAUACGUGGCGCACCCCUUCUCAACCAUACGUCGAGUUUUAAGAAAAGAUAUAACUCUACUGGGAGUGUGAUCAAAAGUACCACUCCACUCAAUACGCGGAAUACCUGGCAUAGCCAGCGUCACGGUCUUAGCGCGACAAUCAGGAAUAGCAUACUGGAGCGAACACCAAUCCAUGCCCAAGAUAACAUCAAAAUCAACCAUAUCUAAUAAUAAAAGAUCUGCUCUGGUCUCAAAACCAUGAAUAGUAACCAAACAUGACCGAUAUAUGCGGCCCACAACAAGGGAAUCUCCUACAGGAGUAGAAACAUAAACAGGAGAGCUCAAGGUCUCUUGGGCUAUAUCUAAAUGCGGAGCAAAAUAAGAUGACAUGUAAGAAUAGGUAGAGCCUGGAUCGAGUAGAAUCGAUGCCUCUCUUUGACUAACCAAUAUAACACAUGUGAUAAUAGUAUCGGAGGCGACAUCCACAAUAUGAGAAGGAAUGGCAUAAAAUCUGGCUCGACCCCUCCCUCUAGGGCGACUUCUAUCUCCCCGAUCCCCGCCCCUGGCUGGUUAGGCAGGUGGGGUGGUAGCUGGAGCUGGAACAAUGGCCUGCUGACCUUGUGGAGCAUGCUGAGGCUGUGGAGUCUGAGAAGGCGUACCCCUCCCAAGUUAGGGGAACUCCCUAACCAUGUGGCGGGAAUCCUCGCACUCAAAACAAGCUCUGGGAGGGCGCAGUGGCUGUGACUGACUGGGCCCACCCCUGCUAGACUGACCUCUGGAAGUACCCCACGCAUGAGGCACACAAGAAAUCGGAGGUGCAUAAUAAGGCUCCUGAGAUCUGGGGGGAGAUGGAGUACUGCUGGAUGAAGGAAGAGAUGAGUGAACUGGGCGACCCGUAUAGCCCCUACCAUGACGUCCUGGUGCUGAUGUACGGGUACCAGAGUAGUGACCCGACUCUCGAGACCUCUUGUCCUCUCUCUCCUCCCGAUCUAUGGCGUGCAUACCCUCUAUCCUCCUAGCUAUGCUCAUUACAUGCUGAUAGGGUAUAUCCAUCUCCAACUCUCAAGCCAUGUCAGACCUGAUCGGAAGA
rnacentral:lncRNA from 1 species